GAAGCUUCUCCUGCCUGCCCGGACCCGAUUGCCCGCCGUCGUCGCAACGUUGAGCUGCGUAUAAUUAGCAGGCGCAGCGCGACGGGGCAACAGCCGACACCGAGGAAUAGACAAGAGGACACGCUGUCGUCCUCUUCCCCCCCUCCCUUCCAUUCCAUGCCUUCGGCCAUCAUCAGCGACCCCGACCCAAGGAUAUAGGCCCUCCCCUCGUCGCGUUGCGUGCUCCGCUCGGUUUCUGGGUUUUUGGCCGGAGGCUGGGGGGAUCUUGAUUCCUUCCGAGCUGCGUCGCCGUUGCUGGGAGCUGCGUCAAGGAAUCGGGGGUCGCCCCGCCCCCGCCGCGGCGUGGAACUCGAUCCCCGAGGAGCUGUACCUGGAGACUUCCAGUCCUGUGCUACCUACAAAAUGUCAGUGCGCCGUCGGUCAGCAAGCAUGGAAGGGCUGCUCACGCUUGAUGACAGGAAAGAACGGAGAUCAGAUGUGGACAACUCAGAGGACGAGCGAAGGCGGCUAUCUAUCGGGUCGCUGAAGAAAAAGGCACUGAAUGCAUCAAACAAGCUCACACAUUCACUCAAGAAGAGGGGAAAAAGAAAGGUGGAGCAUCGGGCAUCAUCCUUCACAAUUGAAGAUGUCAGGGAUGAGCAAGAGGAGCGAGCCGUCUUUACCUUCCAGCAAGAACUUCUGAACAGGAACUUGCUGCCUGACAAGCAUAAUGAUUAUCACUUGUUGCUGAGGUUUUUGAAGGCUAGAAAAUUUGACACUGAGAAAGCGAUCCAUAUGUGGGCUGAGAUGCUCCAGUGGAGGAAAGAGUUUGGAGCAGAUACAAUACUAGAGGACUUCAGUUUUGAAGAGCUAGAUGAUGUGCUAUGCUAUUAUCCUCAGGGCUACCAUGGAGUUGACAGGCAGGGAAGACCAGUAUACAUUGAGAGAUUAGGGAAAGUGGAACCAAAUAAAUUGAUGCACAUUACUACGGUUGAUCGCUACAUGAAGUAUCAUGUGCAAGAGUUUGAGAGAGCCUUCAGGGACAAGUUUCCUGCAUGCUCUAUUGCAGCAAAAAGACAUAUCGAUUCUACAACUACUAUACUAGAUGUCGAUGGUGUGGGUCUCAAGAACUUCAGCAAAACAGCAAGAGAUAUGUUAAGUAGAAUGCAGAAGAUUGACAGUGACUAUUAUCCAGAGACUCUGCAUCAGAUGUUCGUUGUGAAUGCUGGUAGCGGUUUCAAGCUCCUAUGGAAUUCUGUGAAAGGCUUUCUUGACCCUAAAACUGCUUCGAAGAUACAUGUUUUGGGAACAAAGUUUCAGAACAAACUUCUGGAAGUAAUAGAUGCAAGCCAACUUCCUGAAUUCUUGGGGGGGACAUGCACUUGUGCUACUGUGGGAGGAUGCCUGAGGUCUAACAAAGGUCCAUGGAAUGACCCAGAUAUUAUGAAGCUUGCACAUAACAAGGAAGCAAAAUUUACAAGGCAUACCAGGCGUUUAUCCGAGAUUGAGCAAAGGAGGAGUUCAUUUGCUAGGUUACAUCUUUUGAAGGGUAGAAACAGUGACACGUCAACUGUGGAGUCGGGAUCUGAAAUUGAAGAUCUUGGUUCUCCAAUGAUGAGAAGCACAGUGGGGUGUAGUCGAUUGGCCCCAGUUCAUGAAGAGAUGCAGAUGAGAGCUCGAGACUCUGCAGCUUAUUACAGCUGUGACGAUCACUUUGUUGUGGUGGACAAAACAGUUGACUAUGGUCGAGGAGGAUCAAUGUCACAUAAAACCAGUGCUUCAGAAGUAAAAACUCAAGUUCGACCACUGGAUGCUAGCACAGCAGCACAUAUGGCUGGUCCCUCAAGUAACAGACGAGGUACAGUAGUACCUAAAGAGGUUUCAGAUGAAGGAGCAUUCCAUCGCUUUAUCAGGCUACUUCUGGCUUUUAUUGUGAAAGUCUUCGCCUUCUUUCACAUAGUAUAUAGUCAGCAGGAGACGAGGGUCAACAACCCACUACCUCUAGCCGAACCAGAACCGAUUUCUGACGAGCAUCCGGCAGUAGAGACUUUCAAUGUAGACCACAUCAGUCCUGUCAUAGAGCGCCUUCAGAGACUUGAAGGGAAGGUCGAUGAGCUUGGCAGCAAGCCCCCAGCGAUUCCUAUGGAGAAAGAACGAUCCCUCUUGGAUUCAUGGAAUAGGAUAAAAUGUAUUGAAUCUGACCUGGAGCGAACAAAGAAGGUGCUGCAAGCCACGGUGAUGAAGCAAUUGGAAAUCGCCGAGUCGCUAGAGGAAGUGAUUAGAUCAAACCUACGUAGACGAAGAUUCUGUGCGUAAUAAGGAAUCAGCACUGCUGAAGUAACAACAUACUUUAUCAUGGGGUUGAUUGAAGUCAAGGGUACAUGUGGCGGAGAAAAGUAUGCACAAGAGAUUUCGAUGGGUGAUGUUAAGGCCGUCCAGUCAGUUUUCACAUUACUGGCACAAUAGAUGGUGACCACGGAUAGUGAAAAAAUCGGUCCCCUUUUUCAUAUUGUUCCCUUGUGACCCUAAGAAACCCAUGCAUUUUUCAUGCUAACAGAUGAUGUUAGGAUGGAUGGCAAGGGCUAGAAAAAAUAGAAGAGAUAGAAAUGUGGAAAGAUGGUGGUACAGAUAUGAGGCACAGCGUGCCUGAACAAGUGCGCAUCUGGUGAUAUAAACGAAGGGACGUGUCAGGGCGACUCAAUCUGGAGAAGCGCGGGAACGAUGAAGCGGAGCGCGCGAAGGAGCGUUAUCAGGAUGGGCUCGGAAGCAAUUGUAGGCCCAGGUCCAAGAACCCUAACGCCACUGUAUUUCGGCUAAAACUGAAGGAGCUGUCCUCCCUAUACUCCUCUCUUGUGGACACGGCACCUCCUAUCGCUCGCUUGUGCACGCGAGGUGGUGCUAUUGUGCUGCAGUUUUAUUGAUCACUGUGGGCUGCAGUGGGCCGCUGGUCAGCAGCUCCACAACGCGCACAACAGGAAAAGGCCUAUGCUCUGUGCGCCCAGGCUGGCCAUGCAUGCUAGGAAUGCUAGCCUGUGCUCCAUAAAUAUUGUACGUUUCAUAUUAUUCUUCUCAUUUUUAUUCCCCUUGUUGAUGUGCGAUGAUGUGUACAAAGUUAUGAUUAAACCGGGUUUAAAAAGUUUGUGGAAACAUUUGAGAGCUACUCAGCUCGCUGGAAAGGA